GACGAACGCUGGCGGCGUGCCUAAUACAUGCAAGUUGAACGCUGAAGGUUGGUACUUGUACCGUGUGCAUGAGCCGCGCACGGGUGUGUAACGCGUGUGAAAUCUGCCUUUGAUCGGGGGACAACAUGUGGAAACGAGUGCUAAUACCGCAUAAACACUUUAAACACAGGUUGUAAGUGUGAAAGAUGCAGUUUCGUCGGUUAAGCGUGGUCCCGCGGUGUAUUAGCGAGUUGGUGGUGUACAGGCGCAUCAAGGCGAAGACGGGUAGCCGGACUGAGAGGGUGACCGGCCACAUUGGGACUGGGAUACGAGCAGGAGUGCUACGGGAGGCAGCGAUGGGGGAUAGUGCACGAUGGGCGGAAGCCUGAUGCAGCAACGCCGCGUGCGGGAUGACGGCCUUCGGGUUGUAAAGCGCUUGCGCCUGUGACGAAGCGUGAGUGACGGUAAUGGGUAAAGAAGCACCGGCUAACUACGUG
rnacentral:rRNA from 1 species